rnacentral:rRNA from 1 species
AGUUCGAUUAUGGCUCAGAUUGAACGCUGGCGGGAUGCUUUACACAUGCAAGUCGAACGGCAGCACGGACUUCGGUCUGGUGGCGAGUGGCGAACGGGUGAGUAAUGUAUCGGAACGCCUUAGUAGUGAUAACUACGCGAAAGCGUAGCUAAUACCGCAUACCAGCCCUUCGGGAAAGCGUGGGGACCUUCGGGCCUCGCACUAUUAGAGCGGGCCGAUAUCGGAUUAGCUAGUUGGUGGGGUAACGGCUCACCAAGGCGACGAUCCGUAGCUGGUUUGAGAGGACGACCAGCCACACUGGGACUGAGACACGGCCCAGACUCCUACGGGAGGCAGCAGUGGGGAAUUUUGGACAAUGGGGAAACCCUGAUCCAGCCAUCCCGCGUGUGCGAUGAAGGCCUUCGGGUUGUAAAGCACUUUUGGCAGGAAAGAAACGGCACGGGAUAAUACCCCGUGCAACUGACGGUACCUGCAGAAUAAGCACCGCUAACUACGUGCCAGCAGCCGCGGUAAUACGUAGGGUGCAAGCGUUAAUCGGAAUUACUGGGCGUAAAGCGUGCGCAGGCGGUUCGGAAAGAAAGAUGUGAAAUCCCAGAGUUUAACUUUGGAACUGCAUUUUUAACUACCGAGCUAGAGUGUGUCAGAGGGAGGAAUUCCGCGUGUAGCAGUGAAAUGCGUAGAUAUGCGGAGGAACACCGAUGGCGAAGGCAGCCUCCCGGGGAUAACACUGACGCUCAUGCACGAAAGCGUGUGGAGCAAACAGAUUAGAUGGCCCUGGUAGUCCACGCCCUAAACGAUGUCAACUAGCUGUUGGGGCCUUCGGCCUUGGUAGCGCAGCUAUGGUGAAGUUGACCGCCUGGGGAGUACGGUCGCAAGAUUAAAACUCAAAGGAAUUGACGGGGACCCGCACAAGCGGUGGAUGAUGUGGAUUAAUUUAGAUGCAACGCGGAAAACCUUACCUACCCUUGACAUGUCUGGAAUCCUGAAGAGAUUUGGGAGUGCUCAAGAGAACCGGAACACAGGUGCUGCAUGGCUGUCGUCAGCUCGUGUCGUGAGAUGUUGGGUUAAGUCCUGCAACGAGCGCAACCCCGUCAUUAGUUGCUACGAAAGGGCACUCUAAUGAGACUGCCGGUGACAAACCGGAGGAAGGUGGGGAUGACGUCAAGUCCUCAUGGCCCUUAUGGGUAGGGCUUCACACGUCAUACAAUGGUCGGGACAGAGGGUCGCCAACCCGCGAGGGGGAGCCAAUCCCAGAAACCCGAUCAGGUCCGGAUCGCAGUCUGCAACUCGACUGGGUGCGGAAGUGUCGGAAUCGCUAGCAAUCGCGGAUCAGCAUGCCUGCGGUGAAUACGUUCCCGGGUCUUGUACACACCGCCCGUCACACCAUGGGAGUGGGUUUUACCGGAAGUAGUUAGCCUAACCGUGCGGAGGGCGAUUACCACAGUAGGAUUCAUGACUGGGGUGAAGUCAACAAGGUAG